rnacentral:rRNA from 1 species
UACGUAGGUGGCAAGCGUUGUCCGGAUUUAUUGGGCGUAAAGGGCUCGUAGGUGGCCAACUAAGUCAGACGUGAAAUCCCUCAGCUUAACUGGGGAACUGCGUCUGAUACUGGAUGGCUUGAGUUUGGGAGAGGGAUGCGGAAUUCCAGGUGUAGCGGUGAAAUGCGUAGAUAUCUGGAGGAACACCGGUGGCGAAGGCGGCAUCCUGGACCGGCAUUGACGCUGAUGAGCGAAAGCUAGGGGAGCAAACGGG